rnacentral:rRNA from 1 species
GAUGAACGCUGACAGAAUGCUUAACACAUGCAAGUCAACUUGAAUUUGGGUUUUUAACUUAGGUUUGGGUGGCGGACGGGUGAGUAACGCGUAAAGAACUUGCCUCACAGCUAGGGACAACAUUUGGAAACGAAUGCUAAUACCUAAUAUUAUGAUAAUAGGGCAUCCUAUAAUUAUGAAAGCUAUAAGCGCCGUGAGAGAGCUUUGCGUCCCAUUAGCUAGUUGGAGAGGUAACGGCUCACCAAGGCGAUGAUGGGUAGCCGGCCUGAGAGGGUGAUCGGCCACAAGGGGACUGAGACACGGCCCUUACUCCUACGGGAGGCAGCAGUGGGGAAUAUUGGACAAUGGACCAAGAGUCUGAUCCAGCAAUUCUGUGUGCACGAUGAAGUUUUUCGGAAUGUAAAGUGCUUUCAGUUGGGAAGAAAAAAAUGACGGUACCAACAGAAGAAGUGACGGCUAAAUACGUGCCAGCAGCCGCGGUAAUACGUAUGUCACGAGCGUUAUCCGGAUUUAUUGGGCGUAAAGCGCGUCUAGGUGGUUAUGUAAGUCUGAUGUGAAAAUGCAGGGCUCAACUCUGUAUUGCGUUGGAAACUGUAUAACUAGAGUACUGGAGAGGUAAGCGGAACUACAAGUGUAGAGGUGAAAUUCGUAGAUAUUUGUAGGAAUGCCGAUGGGGAAGCCAGCUUACUGGACAGAUACUGACGCUGAAGCGCGAAAGCGUGGGUAGCAAACAGG